CUCUGGUAACGCCCAUCACUGCAAAGACCCUUUUCCUUCAUCGGCGUUUGCUGUUCUUCCUGCCAGUGCGUGUUGCUUUCACUUACACUUGCCACAGCCAGCCUCGUGAGUGCCUAGCCUAUUGGAUAUCACUAUCAUCUACACAGGACAGUCAUUACCUUUCUAUUAAUACUUUGUUUUUUAAUUUCACAUUAAUUUCCAUAUUGUAUAAAUGACUGGAAAAAACUUGAGCCCCUGCCCCUGUAUAAUCAUGUGCACGUCCCUGUUCUAGCUCCAAGGUGAAUCUUCACUGCUCAUGUUCUCCUCAGAAGCACUCACCUCACUCCCCUCAGGUUACUGUACACAUGCACCAACUGCCUGCUUCAGGUUUGGAUGGAGCUUCAUGGUUGUCUUUUGGAGAAAUGAGCAGUCAAGUUGUGUUUGAAAUUUGAUUUUUUUCAGGGGCAAAAGGAGCCUCUGCAUUCUUGACAAAUAUGUAAAUAGCAUGUUUUUGCAGGUGCUAAAAACCAGACUCUGAGUGUGUGUGUGUGUGUGUGUGUGUGUGUGUGUGUGUGUGUGUGUGUGUGUGUGUGUCUGUGUCUGUGUGUGUGUAUAUAUCUUGCAGUACUCUGAGAAGAAUAAUAAGCAUAUUUCUGCGGUGAAUUUUGAAGAUUCAUCUGAGAGUUAGGAGGGCUGAUCAUUCCCUUACCCUUUAGAUGUCUGUCUAUGUCUGUUUUUGUGUGAUAAUGAAAGAAUCCCAACUCAAAAAGGCUCUGUUGAUGUUUUUUUUUGUUGUUCAUUCAUAUUCAAACCACUAUUUUAUAUCACUGCUAAUACGCCAAGACCAUUUUAUGGUAUUUAGCUUUAUUAUUUCUAUACAUUUUGCAAGGAAAGAAACCAAGGCCUUCACUUAAAUUUCCAUAAACUUUAGGAAAGGACCUCUGGUUGUUUAAGGGGGUCAUUACUGCAAAAAAAUAUUCUUCCUAAAUUUUGAAGGUCAAACCUUAGAUCCAUUAGGUUUAAAUAGAAAAAGCAUUAAAAUAUGUUAGGAUUAUAGCAUAUGACAAAUGUGUGCCUCUCAGUGGCAUAACUACUUUGUCUGCUGGCUCUGCAGUCGAUUGACGCUCCCCAGCGUUCAAGUCACAUGACAUAUUUAACCGGAUGUAGCUGCAAGACGGAGCCUCGUUCACCCUCCGUUUCAACUUAUCUCAAAAGUGAGGACCUCAAACUAUAUACCAGUUUUUAAAUUGUGUUGAUAGGCCAAAUAAAACCAGAGUUAUGAUAAAUUAUGUCCGCGAUACUUUUUUUCUGCUUAUUUUGAUCACGUUCGGCGCUCGAUCACGCUGUAUGAGACAGGAAAACAUAGCAUGCAGACAUUAGCGACAGCUCUUACAGGCGGAAAAGGCAUGCCAAAAGAAAAAAAAAACACACCACAACAUCUCUCCUAUUGGUGGAAAACUUCACCACAACAACCAAUCCAAAAUUAUAUGGUGACUGAUUGACAAGGGGCGGGCGCUUACGUUCUUCCUGCAAUAUGAGAAGGGAGGGAGGAACUCUCAGCAGGGAUGCAGUCUGGGAAACAUAGUUGCAAACCUAGCGACUUUGUUGUUAGAUUCAAUGACUUUUCAGACCCCCUAACGACUUUUUUUUAGAAAGAAAGGGAAUUUUAUCGACUUCCUCUGGAGUUUAGAGACUCUGACAUGAAGCAGGCUUUCCUUACUGAGGAGUUAGCAACGCUGCUAAGGGUGCAGAGCCACACAUGCGCUCCGAGCUCUGCAUGGGAGACUAGAGCUGAGAGAGCUGCAGCAGUUAGCAGGUUUCACCCUCAGAGACCACCAGGAGUUCAUGUUGAGGCAUUUUCAGUUUUUUUUUUUUUUUGCCAUAGACACUGUCAGCACAAUCUGCAGUUACACUAACAAAAAUGCUGCAAAAAACAAAGAAUUAUGGAAAAAUUACACAUGGACUGACAUAGAGGAGGAUCUACACAAGUUUUUUACAUCAUGUUUUACAUCAUGCAUCAUUUACAUCAUGUUUUUUUGUAGUGGCAUAAAUAAAAAGUGACAUUUGUGAGACUAUACAGUGUUUUGUAAAUAAUUUUACAAAGAACGCCUGGGCCAUUGCCUGCAUUUUGAUGUAAAUAGAGGUAAAUUACUAUGUUCUUUGUUAAAAAUUUGCAUAUGUUUUGAAGUUUACAAUUUUUAUUUGAAGUUUAAGUUUUAAAAACAGUUCAUCACACAUAUUUGUGGUUUAAUUUCACAUUAAUUUCCAUAUUUGUAUAAAUGACUGGAAAAAACUUGAGCCCCUGCCCCUGUAUAAUCAUGUGCACGUCCCUGUUCUAGCUCCAAGGUGAAUCUUCACUGCUCAUGUUCUCCUCAGAAGUAGUCACCUCACUCCCCUCAGGUUACUGUACACAUGCACCAACUAUCUGCUUCAGGUUUGGAUGGAGCUUCAUGGUUGUCUUUUGGAGAAAUUAACAGUCAAGUUGUGUUUGAAAUUUGAUUUUUUUCAGGGGCAAAAGGAAGCCUCUGCAUUCUUGUCAAAUAUGUAAACAGCAUGUUUUUGCUGGUGCUAAAAAACAGACUCUGAGUGUGUGUGUGUGUGUGUGUGUGUGUGUGUGUGUGUGUGUGUGUGUGUGUGUGUGUGUGUGUGUUGGCGUGUGUGUAUAUGUGUGUGUGUCCGGCAGUACUCUGUACUCCUGCAGUGGCCAAAAAGACUUUUAAGAAUGUGGAUUUUUGGGUCAUCUUUGGCGCCCCCUAGAACUGCAGUACUCUGUACUCCUGCAGUGGCCAAAAUGACUUUUAAGAAUGUGGAUUUUUGGGUCAUCUUUGGCGCCCCCUAGAACGUAAACCGUGGGGUGCAGCGUCAUGAUUUUUACAACUUUGAAUGGCCAUGGGGUGUAGAUUGCCCUGAGCAAAUUUGGUAUCGGUGGGACGAAAGCCUUAGGAGGAGAUAGCCACAUUCCAAUGUGUGCGAAUCGGCAAAAAAUGCGAAAUAGCCCUUUAACCAUACAUUUGACAGAUACGUGCCUAUUGACUUUUUUGUAGAUCUUAUUGAGAUACACGUGAUUGUCAAAUUGUGUGUCAAUAUGACAAAGUGUAUAGGCGUGACACUCAACAAUGUGUAUUUUUACCUUAGGAGACAAGAAAAAAUGGACUUUUUUCUCCUGCCAUGGGGGGGCGCUCUUUUGGGGAGUAAAAAUUCCUUCACAAAUGUGUUGAUGGCUGGACAUUGCAUCAUCCUAGAAAACUUGGAGGCCAGUGAGGACAAAAAUAAAAAGUUAUAAGACUUUUAAGAAUGUGGAUUUUUGUGUUAUCUUCGGCGCCCCCUAGAAAGUAAACCGUGGGGUGCAGCAUCAUGAUUUGUACAACUUUUAAUGGCCAUGGGGUGUAGAUUGGCCUGAGCAAAUUUGGUGCCGGUGGAACGAAAGCCUUCGGAGGAGUUAGCGAAAUUCCAAUGUGUGCGGAUCGGCAAAAAAAGCGAAAUAGCCCUUUAACCGUACAUUUGACAGAUACGCCCGCACUGACUUUUUCGUAGAUCUUAUUGAGAUACACAUGUGUGUCAAAUUUUGUGUCAUUUUGACAAAGCGUACAGGCAUCAGGUGAGUUUUCACCAUAGGGGGCGCUAUGGAGCCAUUUUUCAUUUUUUUGUUUGGACGACUUCAGAAUAUCAAAUUUUUCACCAGGCCCGGUCGUCCUGCCAAAUUUCCUGAGUUUUCGCCAGUGGGAAGUGGGCCAUUUUCCAGUUUAAAGCGGAGGAAAAAUAACGAAAGAAGAAUCCAUCAGGAACAAGAGGGCUCUCGCAGCUGCUUAGCAGCUACGCUCGGGCCCUAACUAGGACCCCGUUGGGGCACUGGCGGGCCCGAGCCGUGUCGCGUCCCCCCCCCCCCAACGUG
rnacentral:lncRNA from 1 species